rnacentral:lncRNA from 1 species
CAGGAGGCUUUAUUGGACAGAAUCACAAUAUAUACUUUUUCCCUGUAUUAACCAUCAAUUCUAUCAUAAAAAUAUAUUACAGCAUUUGAUAUGUAUCCACAAAACACAAACCAUUGUAAACAGAGCAGGCAGCAUUGGCCUUGGAUUCAAAAUUCUUGAGUCCCAUUUCAACAGAAAACAGCUGUUGGCAAGUGGAUUACACAGAAGGUAAUAUUGCCGUAUUGGGAGGGCUUCUGGUAAUACUAAAAAAAUGGAGCCAUACUUAUGUUUAAUAGAUUAGAAGAAAGUAAAUGUAAAACUACAAUGUUGACACACAUGAGAGGAUGCUAAACUUUUGCUUCAUUUGUUUUCUACUCCGAGUGUAGCUGUUUGUGUUCAUGAACAUUCACCCACAUGCAUAUAAUCACGGGCACACAAACAUUCACCCAUAUGCAUAUAAUCACGGGCACACAAACAUUCACCCAUAUGCAUAUGAUCACGGGCACACAGACUUAUGGGAGCACAGGGUUAUGGGCACAUUCACUCCAACACAAACACACAGAUGUCCCACCCAUUUUCCUAAGAGUCUGACAUUAAGGGAUUGCAACAUUGUACAGAAGCCAAUCAUUUGCAGGUCACUUUGUCCCCAGGAAAGAAAUAUCUUUUAUUUUUCUAAAUCCUGGUUUCCAAAAGUAUUCUUGAUGUGUGCAAAUAAAUAUAAAGUGCAUUUCCAUAUUGAAUGCUAAACCAGCUGGCACAUACCUUAGGUUUCCUUAACUGGACUCCCUUCUAUCAUCUACUAGCCACUCUCUGGAUGCCCCAAGCUAUGGUUGGUGUGAGUUCCCCACCCCACUUUUCACAGACAUGAAAAAAAUAGAAUCUAUGAAAAUUCAAGGAAUGUAAAGAAUUGGUGUUCAGUGCCCUCAUUACUAGGAGCCUCCAGGAGGACUGAGGAUAGCAUUUAGCCAGCUGUCCUCUCACUAAAGGGAAGGGAUGGUUCUCCCAUUGGACACUGGGCAGAGUAAAGCCUCCGUGUGGCGAAAUGAGUGUGUUCCAUGAAGAAGGACGGACAGGAGUGGCUAAAGUUGUCUACUGGCAUCCACUACACACGACAUACUAUGGCAGAAGGAGAGAUCUAUGCAUUCCUAGGAGCUUCCUCACCAAACACCAGCAUUAAUAAUGCACAUCCAGAUGGCAGGAUUUGAUCCUUCUCCCAGAUGAGCCUGUGAAAAUUAAAUCUGGCCUAUUCUGGUGUCUAGAAAAACCACCCCAGGUGGUAAUGGGCAUCAGGCAAGGCACCUUUUUAAUUUGUGCUGUUUGUGAUCCAGAGUUAGCCAUUUUCCCCUGGGGAAAUCCUGAUGGGGUUGGUGGCACACCAGACUCCGCAAAUGUUUCUGCACUCCAAAAGAGGUUGUAUUUACAUGUUUGUUGUAAAACAGGAGUGUUGAGGUUUGGAACAAUUUCAGCUUGCAAGGGAACUUGACAUUCGAAGGUUGUUAGAGCAGAGAGUUUGGUUACUAUUAAUAAUUCAAGCAAAGAUUUGGUAAUACAUGAGUUGAGUGCAAAGCAAUGUCAAGCUGAGUCUUUUGGUGCAGGGUGUUUGGUAUUUCAGCCGAUGCAUGAGCAGUCACUAUGGUCUGGUCCUUAGGAAACUGACCAUCUUGGGUCACCCAAUCAAUUGAGUGUCAACGUGAUGGCAUCCAAUGCUCCCCCGACAUCAAACCCAAUCCCUGAGGAUUGUCCGGGAUAAGACUGAAGCCUUGCGCCUUGAUGGUGAUACUCUUAACUCUCACAGUUAAGAGUAGACUUCCUCUCUCCAAAUACAGAUUUUAGGCUCUUGAAACCAUCAAAUCAUGGGCUUUGGCUUCUAUUAAAGAUGUGCAACAAUUCUUCCGUGCCAGGGAAUGAGUACAACAGUGACAUGCUGAGCAUGCAUGAGAGGACACAGGAAAUACCACACGCUGGUGUUCCUAAGAACACACGCAUGCCCCAAGGGGUACACAUCGUCUUUUGAGUUAAAAAUCCAAAUUACUUUAAAAGUCCUUAAAUAUGGGUAUACGUGAUGAACUGGAACACUGCUAAGAUUGAUUAGACUCAUCAAAUUUGACCUUUAAAUGCUAGAUGCUAUUUACAUGACACACUGUACGGGCAACACCCGGAGAUAGGUGUGGGAGUGAAGGGAGGGUGAUUGAAUUGCCAAGUAGCAUGAGGACAGCUUUUGCCAACUGCUUGUUUCUGCUGUGUGGAUUUUUCCGUUUGUCCUGGGGGUAUGUGGCAGUGCCCAUCAGGACCCUGCAUUGAUAUUAAAUGUGUGGCACUCCCUACCGAAGACAAACAUUCGAACCCUUCAGGAUAUUGUCAGAAGAUGGGCCCUGGCUGGUGUGGUUGGUUUCUUAAGAGUGAAUUAUGCUUCCCUCCCCACGCUGUGUAAUGAAGAUGCCCCUCAAAAUGAAUGAGAUUCAUUUUCCUUCCUCCUUUCUCUCCUUUCUUCCUUCCUUCCUUCUUCGUUCAACUUCCUAGGGAAUCUGCAUCAGGAGAAAGAAGUGGCUAGGACUCCUUCCUUCCUUCUUUUUCUUUUCCUUCCUCCCCUCCCUCCUUCCUUUUUUCCUUCCUUUCUUCUUUCCUUCCCUUUUUCUCCUUCCUUUGUUUUUCCUUCCUUCUCUCCUUCUUCCUUCCUUUGCCAUUCUUCCUUCUCUCUUCCUUCUUUUCUGUCUUGCUUCUCUUCUUAUUUCUUU